rnacentral:rRNA from 1 species
GUGUGCGAGUCAUUGGGUAUAUUGUUGAAACCUAAGGGCGCAAUUAAAAUAACUAUUUUAUGGGAUUACAAGUGAAUUAAAUUUCAUUUCUUCAUCCCGGGGCGUUCUAUACGAACAUGGUUCAAGCAAUUGAAUCCUCUGUUCAAGAGCGUACCUUGAGCAUACAUGCUGUGACCCGAAAGAUGGUGAACUAUACCUGAUCAGAUCGAAGCCAGGAGAAAUUCUGGUGGAGGAUCGAAACAGUUCUGACGUGCAAAUCGAUUGUCAGAAUUGGGUAUAGGGGCGAAAGACCAAUCGAACCAUCUAGUAGCUGGUUCCCUCCGAAGUUUCCCUCAGGAUAGCUGGCGCAAAGAAUUAUAUUGUAUAUAAUCUUAUCUGGUAAAGCGAAUGAUUAGAGGCCUUGGGGCCGAAACGACCUCAACCUAUUCUCAAACUUUAAAUGGGUAAGAACCUCAUCUUUCUUGAUC